GACGAACGCUGGCGGCGUGCUUAACACAUGCAAGUCGAACGGGCCUGUCUUCUUUUUUGGGGGGUGGGUUGAGUGGCGAACGGGUGAGUAUCACGUGAGUAACCUGCCCUUCGGUCCUGGAUAACCGCUUGAAAGGGCGGCUAAUACGGGGUGGUCCGGUUGGUCCGCAUGGGCUGGUCGGGAUAGAUUCACUGUUUUUGGUGUUUCGGCGGGGGAUGGGCUCGCGGCCUAUCAGCUUGUUGGUGGGGUGAUGGCCUACCAAGGCGGUGACGGGUAGCCGGCGAGGGAGGGUGGUCGGCCAGGAUGGGACUGAGGUACGGCCCAGACACGGGAGGGAGGCAGCGGUGGGGGGGUACUGCACAAUGGGCGGAGGCCUGAUGCAGCGACGUGGCGGGAGAGGGGGUUGCCUUCGGGUUGUGAUCCUCUGUGUGCGGUAGUGAAGGCCCUGUACGUGUGGUGGGGUUGACGGUAGCCGGGGAUGAAGCGCCGGCUAACUACGUG
rnacentral:rRNA from 1 species